rnacentral:lncRNA from 1 species
UAAUUAAUUAAGGUUGCUAAUGGAGCCCGAAUCUGAUGUAUUUUUCGGUCAGGUGUUGUUUGAUUUAUUUUACAGUUUUGAAUGCAGUAUGGUGCCUGAUGUGUUUAUCCUAUGGUUUCGUAUGCAUGAAUCACAGUUUCAUUUAUUAUGGUUUGAAUUAUUGUGAACCCGAUGUUGUGUUGCCUUCUUUGGUGUUCAUUACUGGUUUACGUGUUUAUAUUUGAUUGGAUAAUUGAGAUUAAGAAAAAAAAUAGAAAAAGGUAUGUGAAUUGAUAAAUGGAUAGUGUCGACAGCCUGACUAGAUAUCUUGGGAGAUGGUGGACGGACCGGGUCUAUAGGGAACCCUACUGGAAACGUGGUCUCUCAUAUCGGACGGGGUAU